AGACACACAGCUUUACUAACUCUCUCACACUCACUUCACUAACUCACACCCCUCUCUCAGAGCACCUCUCGCAGCUCUGUCUCAACACCUCUGUCUCUCUCUUUUCACCUCCGUCUCAGCACCUCCCUCUCUCUCGGCUUCUUCAAUUCAGCGUUGCAUCUCAAGGAUUCUAGGUCCUAAAGCUUCUUGCAUCUUCUUGAAAGACUCUGCUUGUCGUUUUGGAUACAUGGUUUCCAAGAAGUAUACCUAUACCAUUGAUGAUGAUUGCGUUGUAAGCUUUUUCUAGUACCCUUUUUGUUAUUUUAUUUGAUUUUGUUUUUUGGUCUCGGUUUUAAGGUUUUAUUUUUUUGUUUAAUCUUGUAAAGCACUGUUUUUUUUUGGGUUUUAGCCUCUAAUUUUCUGUUAAAUCUUGUGAAUUACUGAUAUUUUGAGGGUUAUCGAGUUUAUGAUUUGUUUUGGUUUGUUGGUUGAUGAAAGAUUGGUUCCUUGACUUAAUUUGACUACUGUAGUGUAGAUAUUUGUUUAGUACAACAGUUUGCUUUUUUAUUUGAUGUGAGAUUUUUAUUCAAUUCUAAUGAGGUUUUUGUGCUUGAAUCUGGAUUCAAAUUCUAUUGUUUGCAUGAUACUUUCGAAUUUAAUGAAUCUGUUUUGCUCUGUCCAGUGUUUUAAGACUCUUUUACAUCAUAGAUUUGCAUCUGAUCCGCUCUAUAUAAGCUUGUUAUUAACCUGUAUGUUAGUCUGCUCUCAAUUACUAUCAGUCUUUAAUUUCAUGGUCUUGAUUAAUGCAAAUGUGUAUGCUCUGUUGCUCCAUUUCCUUUAAAAAUAAUCUGUUUAUAGACCAAAUUUGUAUUCGGAUCGCAAUACGAAAUCUGCUUGCUCUUAUAAAAGACAUAUAAGCAAGAAAUCAUGAAUCAUGGUUUCUCAAAUGUUCCUGUUGUAAUAGUAUGUAUAGGUUGCCAAAGAUCCAUCUGGAAAAGAGAUCAAUGCACUCGAGCAGCACAUCAAGAAUCGGCUAAGCCCAUUAACUCCAUUGUUAUUUAGUGAAGAUUUAUAAGUAGUUUUUUAUCAAAAACUUUUGCUUCUGGAAAUGUGCUAUUACUUACUGAAAACUCAAAAUAUAGGUGGUGUUUGAAAAUGUUAACGAUAGACCUGUAAUCUUUUCGAGCUUUCACCCAGAGGCAGAUUUCUAAUGAUGGAUCAAGGAAAUACUUGAGGCAGAUGAGAAUAAAGAGUCCUAUUCUGUUUACUGUAAAAUUUUCAAAGGAUUGGCCAACUGCUGAACAGUUGGAAGUAGAGGCAUAGCCACUAAGUUCUGGAAUGGUCCUUUGAUGUAUCGUCACUCCUCCAACUUUCCUGUACAAAUGUCGUGACCUCAGUACCAGAUUAAGACAUGCAUUUCCUCAAUUCAUUACCUUAUUUAUAAUUUUUCUUUUAUUGAUAUAUCGACAUGUGAAUUGUUUAUUUUACUUCAGGAUUAGAAAAAGCUUCAAGGACAGCUAUUGGCAGGAAGUGGGAUUUUGAUGGGUUUAGGUUCAGGUUUUGAGAUGUAAAUUAGUCGAUUUAAUUAGUCAAGUUUAUUAUGAUUUGUGUAUGACUUAUUGGAUGUUGGAUGUUGGAUUUUGGAUAUUGGAUAUAUGAAUUUUAAGUGUAAUUUAUUUUGGGAAGCAUUGUAUA